CCCUUAGAUGUUCUGGGCCGCACGCGUGCUACACUGAGUGGAUCAGCGGGUCAGGUUGCGCGAAAGUGUUUCCUAAUCUUGAAAUCCGCUCGUGAUGGGGAUUGACGGUUGCAAUUUUCUGUCAUGAACGAGGAAUACCUUGUAAGCGCGGGUCAUCAUCCCGCGCUGAAUACGUCCCUGCCCUUUGUACACACCGCCCGUCGCUCCUACCGAUUGAGUGGUCCGGUGAGGCUUUGGGAUCUGAGCGGAAAGAGCGUUUCGCUGUUUCUGCUCGGAAAACUCAGUCGAACCUUAUCGUUUAGAGGAAGGAGAAGUCGUAACA
rnacentral:rRNA from 1 species